GAUGAACGCUGGCGGCGUGCUUAAUACAUGCAAGUCGAACGAAGGUUGUAGCAAUACAUCCUUAGUGGCGAACGGGUGAGUAACGCGUUGGUGACCUGCCCCGAAGUGCGGGAUAACAGUCCGAAAGGAUUGCUAAUACCGCAUGGUUUCAUUUGGAUUAGAUGCCAGAUGAGCAAAGGCGAAAGUCGCUUCGGGAGGGGCUUGCGUCCCAUCAGCUAGUUGGUAGGGUAAUGGCCUACCAAGGCAAUGACGGGUAGGGGACCUGAGAGGGUGGCCCCCCACAAUGGAACUGAAACACGGUCCAUACACCUACGGGUGGCAGCAGUAGGGAAUAUUGGUUAAUGUGCGAAAGCGCGAACCAGCAACGCCGCGUGCACGAUGAAGGCCUUCGGGUUGUAAAGUGCUUUUGAGGGGAUGAGGAAGGACAGUACCCUCAGAAUAAGUCUCGGCCAACUACGUGCCAGCAGCCGCGGUAAACGUCUACUG
rnacentral:rRNA from 1 species